CACUAUCGUUAACUGAAUACAUAGGUUAACGAGGCGAACCGGGGGAACUGAAACAUCUAAGUACCCCGAGGAAAAGAAAUCAACCGAGAUUCCCCCAGUAGCGGCGAGCGAACGGGGAGCAGCCCAGAGUCUGAAUCAGCUUGUGUGUUAGUGGAACGGUCUGGAAAGUCCGACGGUACAGGGUGAUAGUCCCGUACACCAAAAUGCACAGGUUGUGAACUCGAAGAGUAGGGCGGGACACGUGGUAUCCUGUCUGAAUAUGGGGGGACCAUCCUCCAAGGCUAAAUACUCCUGACUGACCGAUAGUGAACCAGUACCGUGAGGGAAAGGCGAAAAGAACCCCGGCGAGGGGAGUGAAAAAGAACCUGAAACCGUGUACGUACAAGCAGUGGGAGCACCUUCGGGUGUGACUGCGUACCUUUUGUAUAAUGGGUCAGCGACUUAUAUUCUGUAGCAAGGUUAACCGUAUAGGGGAGCCGCAGGGAAACCGAGUCUUAACUGGGCGUUAAGUUGCAGGGUAUAGACCCGAAACCCGGUGAUCUAGCCAUGGGCAGGUUGAAGGUUGGGUAACACUAACUGGAGGACCGAACCGACUAAUGUUGAAAAAUUAGCGGAUGACUUGUGGCUGGGGGUGAAAGGCCAAUCAAACCGGGAGAUAGCUGGUUCUCCCCGAAAGCUAUUUAGGUAGCGCCUCGUGAACUCAUCUUCGGGGGUAGAGCACUGUUUCGGCUAGGGGGUCAUCCCGACUUACCAACCCGAUGCAAACUACGAAUACCGAAGAAUGUUAUCACGGGAGACACACGGCGGGUGCUAACGUCCGUCGUGAAGAGGGAAACAACCCAGACCGCCAGCUAAGGUCCCAAAGUCACAGUUAAGUGGGAAACGAUGUGGGAAGGCACAGACAGCCAGGAUGUUGGCUUAGAAGCAGCCAUCAUUUAAAGAAAGCGUAAUAGCUCACUGGUCGAGUCGGCCUGCGCGGAAGAUGUAACGGGGCUAAACUGUGCACCGAAGCUGCGGCAGCGACACUUAGGUGUUGUUGGGUAGGGGAGCGUUCUGUAAGCCUGCGAAGGUGGCCUGUGAGGGUUGCUGGAGGUAUCAGAAGUGCGAAUGCUGACAUAAGUAACGAUAAUGCGGGUGAAAAGCCCGCACGCCGGAAGACCAAGGGUUCCUGUCCAACGUUAAUCGGGGCAGGGUGAGUCGACCCCUAAGGCGAGGCCGAAAGGCGUAGUCGAUGGGAAACAGGUUAAUAUUCCUGUACUUGGUGUUACUGCGAAGGGGGGACGGAGAAGGCUAUGUUAGCCGGGCGACGGUUGUCCCGGUUUAAGCAUGUAGGCGGAGGUUCCAGGUAAAUCCGGUACCUUUUAACGCUGAGGUGUGAUGACGAGGCACUACGGUGCUGAAGUAACAAAUGCCCUGCUUCCAGGAAAAGCCUCUAAGCAUCAGGUAACAUUGAAUCGUACCCCAAACCGACACAGGUGGUCAGGUAGAGAAUACCAAGGCGCUUGAGAGAACUCGGGUGAAGGAACUAGGCAAAAUGGUGCCGUAACUUCGGGAGAAGGCACGCUGAUAUGUAGGUGAAGCCCCUGCGGGUGGAGCUGAAAUCAGUCGAAGAUACCAGCUGGCUGCAACUGUUUAUUAAAAACACAGCACUGUGCAAACACGAAAGUGGACGUAUACGGUGUGACGCCUGCCCGGUGCCGGAAGGUUAAUUGAUGGGGUUAUCCGUAAGGAGAAGCUCUUGAUCGAAGCCCCGGUAAACGGCGGCCGUAACUAUAACGGUCCUAAGGUAGCGAAAUUCCUUGUCGGGUAAGUUCCGACCUGCACGAAUGGCGUAAUGAUGGCCAGGCUGUCUCCACCCGAGACUCAGUGAAAUUGAACUCGCUGUGAAGAUGCAGUGUACCCGCGGCAAGACGGAAAGACCCCGUGAACCUUUACUAUAGCUUGACACUGAACAUUGAGCCUUGAUGUGUAGGAUAGGUGGGAGGCUUUGAAGCGUGGACGCCAGUCUGCGUGGAGCCAACCUUGAAAUACCACCCUUUAAUGUUUGAUGUUCUAACGUUGGCCCCUGACCGGGGUUGCGGACAGUGUCUGGUGGGUAGUUUGACUGGGGCGGUCUCCUCCCAAAGAGUAACGGAGGAGCACGAAGGUUAGCUAAUCCUGGUCGGACAUCAGGAGGUUAGUGCAAUGGCAUAAGCUAGCUUGACUGCGAGCGUGACGGCGCGAGCAGGUGCGAAAGCAGGUCAUAGUGAUCCGGUGGUUCUGAAUGGAAGGGCCAUCGCUCAACGGAUAAAAGGUACUCCGGGGAUAACAGGCUGAUACCGCCCAAGAGUUCAUAUCGACGGCGGUGUUUGGCACCUCGAUGUCGGCUCAUCACAUCCUGGGGCUGAAGUAGGUCCCAAGGGUAUGGCUGUUCGCCAUUUAAAGUGGUACGCGAGCUGGGUUUAGAACGUCGUGAGACAGUUCGGUCCCUAUCUGCCGUGGGCGCUGGAGAAUUGAGGGGGGCUGCUCCUAGUACGAGAGGACCGGAGUGGACGCAUCACUGGUGUUCGGGUUGUCAUGCCAAUGGCAUUGCCCGGUAGCUAAAUGCGGAAGAGAUAAGUGCUGAAAGCAUCUAAGCACGAAACUUGCCCCGAGAUGAGUUCUCCCUGACUCCUUGAGAGUCCUGAAGGAACGUUAAAGACGAUGACGUUGAUAGGUCGGGUGUGUAAGCGUAGCGAUACGUUGAGCUAACCGAUACUAAUGAACCGUGAGGCUUAACCUUACAACGCCGAAGGUGUUU
rnacentral:rRNA from 1 species